AAGUCAUAACAAGGUUUCUGUAGGUGAACCUGCAGAAGGAUCAUUAUUGAAUUGUUAAAUGGGGAAUCUUUCGGAGAUUCCUCUACAUUCUUUAUUCCUAACACCUGUGAAUCGUUGCUGUGUUCGCUCAGUAGCAACAUUUUUUAUACACACAUAAUAGUUUAGAACGUAAAAAUAUAUAAUAAAAUACAAC
rnacentral:misc_RNA from 1 species